rnacentral:rRNA from 1 species
GACGAACGCUGGCGGCGUGCUUAACACAUGCCAGUCGAACGGAAAGGCCCUGCUUUCGUGGUGUGCUCGAGUGGCGAACGGGUGAGUAACACGUGAGUAACCUGCCCUUGACUUUGGGAUAACUUCAGGAAACUGGGGCUAAUACCGGAUAGGAGCUCCUGCUGCAUGGUGGGGGUUGGAAAGUUUCGGCGGUUGGGGAUGGACUCGCGGCUUAUCAGCUUGUUGGUGGGGUAGUGGCUUACCAAGGCAUUGACGGGUAGCCGGCCUGAGAGGGUGAACGGCCACAAUGGGACUAAGAUACGGCGCAGACUCGUACGGGAGGCAGCAGUGGGGAAUAUUGCACAAUGGGCGGAAGCCUGAUGAAGCAACGCCGCGUGCGGGAUGACGGCCUGCGGGUUGUAAACCGCUUUCGCCUGUGACGAAGCGUGAGUGACGGUAAUGGGUAAAGAAGCACCGGCUAACUACGUG